UAUUAAACAUUUUACAUACAGAUAUUAUAUACGGAUUUUUAAUUAAUUAAUAAUUAAAAAAACUUUAGAAAAAGCUCUGAUCUUCUUCUAACUUCUUCUAACUUUGAAAAAAAAACCUAACUACAACUCUCCAAAAUGAGUCCCUCACUCACUCACUGACCCUUCCUUUCUUCCUUCAUUUCGGAUAAAAAAAAACCCACAAAUCCUUUCUUCUCCCUUUUUCUCAGUAGAAGAAACCCUCAGAUGGUUUUGUUUCCUCAUCUCACAUCUUACUUCUUUCUUCUUCCUUCCAUCCUUGUAGCCACGCGUUCUUCCUUUUGCCACGUCUUCAUUCAGACCGCAUCAUCAGCCACGUUCAUUUUCUUCUCGAGAGCUCACCAUCAACGGGUUGGUGCAAAGGUUAUCGCCAUUAGGUCUUGGUAGAAUCUUUCUUGAUUUCUAAUUCCUCGUUAUUUCGCUGCGUUUCAUUCUCGAAGAAGCUUCAAGGUCCUUUAAAUCAGCUCGCGUCGCGCGUUCAGUCCUCUUCCUUGGAGCCUCUUCCAUCAGGUGGUAUUCAGAGCUUUGAUUCUUCCACGCAAUUCAAAAGCUAAGUAUCUCUCUCCUUUGUGUCGUGUUUUCAUUUGAUUCAUUAUUGUGUUGACACUGUUUCGCAUCUUUGUUUUGAUGUUUUUCUCUGAUUCAUGUAAGGUUGAAUUUGUAUUGGCAUGUUUUGUCUUAAUUAUGAGUAUUAUAUGUUAAUUCUGCUCAUAAACUGUUUGUUUAAAUGUCUAAGAGAGCUAAUAUGAUAUUGUUCAUUCUUGAUAACUUACUACUCUUCAUAUUAAAAUGUGCUCUCUGUAUCCUCACGCCAAAGGCAUACUGUGGCAUACUGUUAGGGCUCAAAGAGAAAGGCAUCGACGUUGCAAUCGCUGCUCGCUCACCAACUGCUGACAUAGCAACAGUUUUCCUUAACAAAUUGGGUUUCUCGCCGUUGAUCAAUCUUUUUCAUUUUUCUUUGUAAUGGAGGUUUCUUUUUGUCAUGUUAAUACAGGGUUUGAUCACAAAUAAUGAAAGGCAUUAGAGGAGCCAUUUGUGGAUGAAGAGGAUAAUUAUAGCGGUGUUGCAUGUUUGAAUGUGAUAGCAAAACGAAUUGUUACAGUUUUUGCUUCUUUAAGAGGAUAAUUAUAGCGGUAAUACUAGGAUUAGACAUCCUCUUUUCUAAUUCUGAAUGUUGUUUUAUUUUUCUUUUGGAAUGAUGGAAUUUUGACAAUGAAGUAUAUUUUAUAGGUAUGUAUUUUUAAUGUAUGUUAAUUAUGAUGCAGGGGCUAGUUUUUUAAACAUUAUAGUUUGUUCUGUCAUCCAACAUGAUUUGAUUUUUAUCUCUGCAGUCAUGUCGGUAUCCAGGUGGAAGAUAAUAUAUGUAUUCUAUGCUUAGAUUUAUGAUGAAUGGUAUAAGUAAAGAUAUCCUUGAUUUCUUCUAUUUGUUUUUAGAGGCGGCUUGGUUUCUACUAUUUAACCAUUUAACCUAUUUAGAUUACUUAGUGUGUUUAUAAAGAAAUUUACUUAUUGUGUUUCAGUUCAAUCAUUUCUAUAAGAAUAAGAAUCAAUUAAAAAGAAAAAAGGCUUUAUCAUUUUUCUGUUAACUGUUCUAACUAUAUAGUAUUUGUAAUUUGUCUAUUAAUGCGGGUGCUUCAUGCUACAAUGAUGAAGCGGUUUGAGAUUGCAGAGCUGGUGGAGAAUUUGAAUGCAUCAAAUAGUCAAGUAAAUUUCUUUUUGAUUGGCAGUUUGAUGUAUCAGCCUCGACAUCUUCGUUGCCUCCUAUUAGUGGUGGUGAUAUUUACAUGAAGUCAAGGAAGUCUUGGUUUCAAUUUCAGUCUUCUUAGAAGCACUUCUUUCAGUAAUUCUUUUCUGCAUCUGAAUCAUCAUAUCCUCCUUUCUCUUUCUAUUUUCCUCCUUCUAUAAUGUCUUUUCUGAAGAAUAUCAAGGUUCCUUCUUUCAUGAAGCAAACAAACCUAAAGAUGAGCAUGACAAGAUAUUCAUAGUACAUGGAGUCUCUAGAAGCAAAAGAGAAGCAAGUGAUACUUUUGUAGUCUUAGCUGAACUAAAAAAAUUUACUACUGUCUAGUAUGAUAUUUAUCAUUGUAAAUGGUUUUGACAUAGUGCCAACUUAGAUUUAGAUUGAUAAGUUUGUUUAUUAUGAGUAUAUAUUAAAAUUGUGGUUGUUGAAUAGGUAACACAUUAUAAUAGAUUUCUUAAUGU